rnacentral:rRNA from 1 species
GUCGAGAAUCUUUCACAAUGGGGGCAACCCUGAUGGAGCGACGCCGCGUGGAGGAUAAGGUCUUCGGAUUGUAAACUCCUGUCAUGCGUGAACAAGGUUGCUUGGUUAAUACCUGGGCAAAUUGAUGGUAACGCAAGAGGAAGAGACGGCUAACUCUGUGCCAGCAGCCGCGGUAAUACAGAGGUCUCAAGCGUUGUUCGGAAUCACUGGGCGUAAAGGGUGCGUAGGUGGCGUGGUAAGUCAGAUGUGAAAGCCCGGGGCUCAACCUCGGAACUGCAUCCGAUACUGCCAUGCUAGAGUACGGGAGAGGUGACUAGAAUUCUCGGUGUAGCAGUGAAAUGCGUAGAUAUCGAGAGGAAUACCAAAGGCGUAGGCAGGUCACUGGACAGUUACUGACACUGAGGCACGAAGGCCAGGGGAGCGAACGGGAUUAGAAACCCUUGUAGUCC